UACGGGGGGGGCAAGCGUUGUUCGGAAUUACUGGGCGUAAAGGGCUCGUAGGUGGCCAACUAAGUCGGACGUGAAAUCCCUCGGCUUAACCGGGGAACUGCGUCCGAUACUGGUUGGCUUGAGUUUGGGAGAGGGAUGCGGAAUUCCAGGUGUAGCGGUGAAAUGCGUAGAUAUCGUCAGGAACGCCAAUGGUGAAGACAGGUGACUGGGCUAGUUCUGACACUGAGGCACGAAAGCGUGGGGAGCGAACGGG
rnacentral:rRNA from 1 species